ACCUCAGAAUUUGAUAACAUGUUUUUUUUUGUCAGUACCUAACAAAAUUUACUGUGAUUAUUCAUCUUAUAAUUCCCCAAAUAAUCCUUCUUUCCUCUUUGCUAUUCUGUUGUACAAAAAUCAUAGUAAAUCAUAAAUUGAUGAGCAAAGCUUAUUUUGGCUCUGUAUAUAUCUUCUUUAGUUGAAUGGAGAUCAAACAUACUUCCAUGGAUUCCUCAAUACCAUGUGUUUCAUGUGUUACUAGUUUACUAUUGAUAUCUCUGUUAGGAACACUAUAAAUCUUUUUUGUUUGUGAAAGUGUGGGGACCUGAAAAUUUUGGAAAAAGGGAGAAUACCAGGAAAAGUUUUUCUAGAGUGAAUGUGAGUGCCAUGCAGACGAGAUCUUAGAUCUGUUUAAUAUUCCCAUACUCUACUUAUCUGUUGCUUUCAACAGCGGGCAAAAGUAUGAGACGCGGCACCUCAGAAGUUUCUCAUAUGUAGGAAACGUUGUCGGACAAAGUGCUGGAUUUGUUCAUGGAUGUUCGAAGGUGGAGAAUGUCUGGAACUGGAAGUUUGUUUCUUAGAUAAGAACUGGCCUACCUUAGUCUGUGUUGAUUCUUCUAUUCUUGAUUUUCUUUCUAUGCAGAAAGGUUUAUUAGAAGUUGGAACUCGAAAUCUUGUAGCUUUUGCAGAUUUGGUAUAAUGGAAAUUUCCCAUUUGUUCUACACAUCUGGUGUAAUUGUACGCAAGUAGUACUCCAGUUGAUGAAUCUUAUUAUAUUCUUAUUAGCCGUUGCCACAGGUUAUGUUAUUGGAAAAUAAAAUACUAGUACUACCUGUUUUCCCACAGGUUAAAAAAGAAGCACAUGGAUCUUUAAAUAAUAGGGUAAAUUGUUAAAAGAAAUUAUAGUACUGUAGUAGACUAGUAGUAUAAAGUUUCAUCGAAUUUUUAUCCGUACUGUUAUUCUUAUUUUUCAAGCUGUAGGUGUUAUUUUAUUUAUGUAUCGAUAACAUUGUUUAUCUUAUCGGUGGGGUAUGCUUUUUAGAGAAAUUUCAGCACCUAAAAUCUGCGGCAGUGUGUGUUGUUGAGCACAUAAAAAUGCGAAAUGAGGAAGAUUGAGACAUCGUCUUUGAGCACAUCAUAUUUGGAGGUGUGCAGCCUUGAUUUGGGUGGAACACUUUGAAGACUAAAGGACUGUCACCAUCAUCACCAACCUGACUUGUAAUCGCCUCUAUCGUGCAUAAACUUGCACGUAGCCAGGUUCUUUAUAUAGUCUUUACAAAUCGUCUCUAUCAUUCUCCAAACACAGAUUCUCUCUGUUUUUCAGGCUCACUCACACCCUUUGCAAACAAAAAGAGCAGCCAGUUUCUUCUUAUUAUAAUUUAUACACCACUGAGCUCCCAGAGUUAGAAGAAUUAAUACAAUUUAGACUAAAAUAACAUAUGAUUCCAAUAAAUAUCUUUGUCUAUCAUUAAUUGUAUUUUGGAUUCUAUUGUCUCUAUCUAAGAUUGAAUUGAUUCAUAUGGGUCUCCAACUGAGUUGGAAGAUUUUUUUCUAUACCAAUAAAUACGUUGGGUUGUCACAUAAUCCACCCAUUAUAACCAGGUUCUCUAUACAA